GUGGGGCUUGGUGGAGGGGCGGGACCGCGGGGCUUCCGCGCCCGGACUCACGGGCGGCGCUGAGGGAACGCCCCCAGCCGACCUAGGAUCCCCGACUGGAGGCGGGCUGGGGGCUUCCGCUCGGCCCGGAAGAGUCCCACUGGCCCGGCACCCUUGGUCCUACCUUGCUGCGGCUUCCGGUACUGCCAGUACCUGAGAGUUGGGCACAGAUAGCGUCUCAUGAAGUCACUAAUUGCUCAGGCUCCUGGAGCUUGUGCUCCUCCCGCCCCUGAGAUGGUGCUUUUAUGCCCGAAGCCCCCUGGCUCCUAGCAAGCGGCCAAGAAUGAUGGCCAGGGAGGACGAGGGUGAGUUUGGGGCAGAGUUCAACACCAUCUGCUGUGGGUGAUUGAAAGGAGGGAAGAUGCCAAGUUCUGAGCAACCCUAUGGAGAAGCCACUUUCUUUAGCAGCUAAAUAAAUAAGCAAAGGUGGAAUCUCCACCCCGGUCCCACUCGCAGCUGACCUCCUGUGUGCAACUUCAUGAGAGAACCUGAAUCAGAACCAUCCAGUGCUGGGGAGUGAAUCCAGGGCCUUGUGGAUGGAUGCCAGGCAAGUAACGGGGGCCACCAGAACCAAGCCAGCCUGGACUGUUCACAUCAGUGAGACCAGUGAGGUCUCUGUCUGCAGUAUCCCUGGGAUAGGAGAACAGCCAAUAAAAGAACACCAUCUCCCACCAAUCUACUUCUCCAGGUACAGGGAUGAACCGGAGGACAUCACGCGAAGUGAAAUGAACAGGCCCUGAAGGACAAAUACUGCGUGACCUCACUGUUAUGUGGAAUCCACAGAAGCUGAUUUCAGAGAGAGAGGAAGAGUGGUGGCCAGAGACGAGGGAGGGACUGCGGAGCCAGCGGGAGGUGAUCAAGGGCACGGCGUUAGACGCGAGGAAUAUGCUCGGAUGUUUCUGCUGGACAUACUUAACAGUGAUGUAUCUUUCCAGCUAGCUGGGAGAGAGAACUCUUAAAUACUCUCACCACAAAAACGUGAUAAAUGCGCGGCGUGCUGGAGAUGUUACUUGGCCUGAUUUGAUCAUUACCCAAUAUGGAUUUGUACUGGAACAUAACGUGGAACCCUGUGAAUGCGUAACAUUAUUUUGACUCAACUUAAAAAUAAAUAACUGUAAUAAUAUGUCAUGUAUACUUUAAUAUUACCAUACAUGUGAUUGUAGUACUUAAAUAUGGACUAUAUAUGGUAAUAUAAAUUAUAGUAUUAAUGUGCCUUUAUAAUAAAGUAAAAAUGCAUAUAGCA